UUAAUCACUCCAUAGCCAGGACUUACCCUUGAACAUGGUAAUCAGAAAAGUCCAUAGUGUUUGUUGAAUGAGUGACUGGGCAAACUUUGGCCUAUUCGCCUUCAUUUCACUUUUCAUCCUAUCUCUAAGUCCCAGUAGGUUCUUCCUUUGUUCAUUUCUGACACUCACCUCCUCCCUUCCAUACCCGCUGCUUCUGUGUUGAGGGGCUACAGAAGAUAAUGAAAUGGGCCAGACCAUGGUGAGUAGACAGGCUACCAGAGUGAGCAACUCCUGGAGAAAACGCCACUUCAAGCAAAACAAAGCAUGAGGCACCAAGUGGGAAGACGGAAUUUAGAGCCUGAAACUCACACUCCAGGCAGGAAAUGUGGCCAUGUGCUGCUGUACACCUGUACAGGAGGAAACAGGUAGAAGGAAAUGGAGUGAAGAUAAUGAUUUUAAUUUGCUUGGAAUGAAAGCAGGUUACAGAAGACACAGAAGGAGUGACUGGUGCCAUUCUGGAUAUGGAGAAUCUAUAAAUCAGAGUUCUUGAGUGAGGACAACAUAUGGCACAGCACCCUUACCUCCCAACCAAUGUGAGACAGACACAUGUGGCAUAGGAGAUCUGGGGUUCCCUCCGCUGGCAGACUUCCCGGAGACCUUCCAGCCCAGGAUCACUCCUAUGGUGGAUGUGAUGGGUGGACGAUGUACUGGAUGGGAAGCUAUCCAAGUCCGACACACCUGUUGGAAGGGCUCUGCACUCCCUGAGACCUAGAGGUUUAGGAGCGCAGUUGACUGGUGAGAGCGCCAUGGUCCUCACUGAGUGCCAGCCUAGCAAAAUCAUUCCCACCUCGAGACUCCAAGACUCCGUCUUUUCUCUACACCUCUGAGGGCUCCGGGCCACAAGCCUCAGCACCCCCGAUCUAAAGGAUUCAUCAAAUAAUCCAUGGAAAGAGUUUAGGAGCAGACAUAAGUUUCUUCUAGGCCUCUGAGCAGUAAAGGGGUUGAUUCUAGGUCCAAGAUCUGGUCUGCAGUAAAAAUGACCUACAGCUCAGGUACUCAGCCCAGGUAACCCUACUAACUACCGCUUUUGAGGCUCAUCAGAUGGGGGUUGAUGACUUACCACCUGCCUCACAACCAGGCAAUGCUGGACUGUGGGGUGGGGCAGAAACAGGCAGGUUAACAGGUACUAUUUGACAAGUGAUAAUAAUAUACUUACAAACCUUGCUUCCAAAGUACGUCUUCUGAGCAAGGCCAAGGAUAUGAUAUUAUCUAUCAUAAGGAGAUUUUCCAUUCCCCGUGUAGAACCCUGCCAGGCAGUUAAAUGACAUCGAGAACACGCUGACAGCUUGCUGUGUUCUUGACCCCAUUAUGCAGCCAGUGUACCAAAUAUGCCUCCUCUGAAAAUAAA